rnacentral:rRNA from 1 species
CCUACGGGAGGCAGCAGUGAGGAAUAUUGGACAAUGGGCGAAAGCCUGAUCCAGCGACGCCGCGUGAGUGAUGAAGGCCUUCGGGUUGUAAAGCUCUUUUAGUAGGGAAGCGGUACCUACAGAAACAGUCCCGGCUAACUUCGUGCCAGCAGCCGCGGUAAUACGAAGGGGGCUAGCGUUACUCGGAAUUAUUGGGCGUAAAGAGUACGUAGGCGGCUUAGUAAGUUGAGAGUGAAAUCCCAGGGCUCAACCCUGGAACUGCUCUCAAAACUACUUGGCUAGAGUCUUGGAGAGGAUAGCAGAAUUCCUAGUGUAGAGGUGAAAUUCGUAGAUAUUAGGAGGAAUACCGGAGGCGAAAGCGGCUAUCUGGACAAGACUGACGCUGUUGUACGAAAGCGUGGGGAGCAAACAGGAUUAGAUACCCUUGUAGUC